rnacentral:rRNA from 1 species
UACGUAGGGCGCAAGCGUUAUCCGGAAUUAUUGGGCGUAAAGAGCUCGUAGGCGGUUUGUCGCGUCGACUGUGAAAACCCGAGGCUUAACCUCGGGCCUGCAGUCGAUACGGGCAGACUAGAGUUCGGUAGGGGAGACUGGAAUUCCUGGUGUAGCGGUGAAAUGCGCAGAUAUCAGGAGGAACACCGGUGGCGAAGGCGGGUCUCUGGGCCGAUACUGACGCUGAGGAGCGAAAGUGUGGGGAGCGAACAGG